CUUCUGUAUCCAAGCCGGAAGUCCUAGAUUUGUCAGAGUGGAAGUUUCUGAAAAGAACUCUUCGAGCUGCUGUGGGUGAGAGCAAGGCAAAAUCCCUGGUCAACCCUCCCAACAGGGGACCUGCUGUCUUGUAUGUUGCUUUUGGUCUUCAGGACCCUGUCCUUAAACAAUCUUCAGUGUUGUGCUGCAGGCUCUAGUAUCCAGCACCUCCAAACCCCAGACAGAGGUCAGGCCCGUGAGCCCUCAAGCCUGAAGACACAGUCAAGGACGCUCCUUGAGGCUCAGGCACGGAUGAGGACAGAGCACAGGUGAGGAUGGCAAAGUCCUGCUUGCCAGUCCCAGGAGACAGCGGGGGACCAGGCAGAAGAAGGAGGUGGCUGAGCAGGACCCUAGGGCAGCCUAGGGCAGACACAGGCCUUGCUCUGCUUACUUGGAAAGCAAAUGACUGGAGAAUGGAGGCUGCCUAAGAUCUCCCAGCCCCAAGCUACAGGGCAUAAGUGCAGAAGUUAGCAAAUGCGCACUGGAAAGGUCCAGAAAGUGUUUAUUAGAGAGAGGUCUCAAGGACCACACAAUCCUUGUCAUGAGACUCCGU
rnacentral:lncRNA from 1 species